GCCGCGCCCCGACCUGAACGAAGCUCUUUUUUGCGAAAUGCAAUGGAGCAAAAAAAGCGGGAGUGGAGGGCGGAAAAAGGC
rnacentral:misc_RNA from 1 species